UAUAGAUAAUUGAAUUAGCUUUCCAACCAUAGGUCGUGGGUUCCUAGGUGACGUCGGUACAAGGAGAUAUGGACGUUUUAAGGUCGAAAGGUCAGUGGGCUAUGCCCAACUCGGGACCAACCGAGUUGGCCCAAAAAAAUGAAAAGAAAAAUUUAGGCCCAAGGUGAGAGGGUGGCCGGCCAUACCUGGUCCAAGCCCACCAAAUUAAUUAAUUUCCAUGUGACAAAUUAAUUAUAAAGGGAUCAUUAUCCCUUAGAUGAUUCAAGAAACUUAGAAGGAGAAAGAACAAACAAAACAAGAGCAAAAAAAAGGACCAUUUCGGGUUUGGCCAUAGAAAAUUCAACCCUCCAAAUCUUGCUUCAAAAAUUAUUUUCUUGUGGUAUUCCUACUAAUUCAAGGGUCCUUUACAACUUGGUGUAGUUGUUUUGGAAGAAGGAACACUUAUUUCUUCAAGUUGACAACUUGUUCAAGUGAAGAAGUUUGUAGAAAAAGAUUUCGGGCGAAACGGGAAUUGAAUUCGAAAAGGCGUAAAGACCAUAUAAGGUACAGACGACAGGUUCGCUGAUCCAUCUGUUUAGGAUCCCACUUCUGCUAUUUUGGGGCGCUCUCUUCUUCAGAGCCCACUUUUUGGUACAGUCUGUCACUGCUAUCUGGAUAUGUACAUUGUUCUGGGUAUGACGGGGCCCUGUCCCGUCUUAUGAUUAUGUUAUGUUCUGUAGAGGUCUGUGGAUAUAUCUGUAUGGGUUCUGUACAUAUGUUUGGGAUACUUUGUCCUAUGAUGGCCUUAUCGGCCUAUGUGUGCCAAGUCUGCUUUUUAUGCUAAAUUCUGUAGCGUCCACUAAUAUUAUUAUUAUAUUAUUUUGUUAA